CGCCCGCCGCGCGCGGCGGGCGGGGCGGGGGCACGGGGGGCGUACGGGAGGCAGCAGUGGGGAAUUUUGCACAAUGGGCGAAAGCCUGAUGCAGCAACGCCGCGUGCGGGAUGAAGGCCCUCGGGUCGUAAACCGCUUUCAGCAGGGAUGAAAAUGACAGUACCUGCAGAAGAAGCCCCGGCUAAAUACGUGCCAGCAGCCGCGGUAAUACGUAUGGGGCAAGCGUUAUCCGGAUUUAUUGGGCGUAAAGCGCGCGUAGGCGGAUUGUUAAGUCGGAUGUGAAAACCGGGGGCUCAACCCGCGGCCUGCAUCUGAAACUGGCAGUCUUGAGUCUGGUAGAGGAAAGUGGAAUUCCUGGUGUAGCGGUGAAAUGCGCAGAUAUCAGGAGGAACACCAGUGGCGAAGGCGGCUUUCUGGGCCACGACUGACGCUGAGGCGCGAAAGCUAGGGGAGCAAACAGGAUUAGAUACCCUGGUAGUCCUAGCCGUAAACGAUGGGCACUAGGUGUGGGGGGUCAUCGACUCCCUCCGUGCCGAAGCUAACGCAUUAAGUGCCCCGCCUGGGGAGUACGGCCGCAAGGCUAAAACUCGAAGGAAUUGACGGGG
rnacentral:rRNA from 1 species